rnacentral:rRNA from 1 species
AUGGCUUCAUCCGGUUCCAUGACGAGGCCACCGUGUGCUCACCAAGAAGACAUGCCACACAAGUGGAAGGACGCAUCUUUGUACAAGGUGAAGGAGAAAGAUGUGAAGAUUCCGCCAUGUUGGUGUGGAGAUGUUUGCAAGGUGAAGGAGUCCACCGACCGAAAGAAGUCAUGGACCGAAGGAAGGAGAUAUUUUGUUUGCCCCAAUUAUGCUUACGAUCGUGCGCUUCCAACUAACGCCUAUGAUCUUCCACCGGUAUGCUAG